GCCUUGUUGCGGUCAGGAAGCAACCAUAUCCACUGGGAUCACAGCAUCCGGACCAUGCAGUACCAAACUGGAACUAACUGGAAAGAGGAGCAAGUGCAGACAAAACUGAUGCUAGCGACUGCUGUCAGAAAAACCCAAAUAAGUCUCAUGGUACAAAAUGGAUGCCACCAAGCCAUUUCACUAGUAUCCAGGGUGUCUGGCUCACUCAUAUCUUCGCGUGUAAGGUAGUGUAAAGCAUGGCCACCACAGUAAAACAUUGUUUAUUAUCAUCAUCAUCAUCAUCAUCAUCAUCAUCACCAUCGUCACCAAAAGUGCCAUUACUAAUAUCAUAUGAUGUGCAACUGACAUAGUAGAUCUCAUUGAGAUGCCCAAAACGCCCACUACGACAAAUGAGUUUGAAAGUUCCGUACAAAGAGUACAAAGUUUGAAAGUUCAUUUAAUCAUUGACCAAUGGUGAGCUUUGUCUAACUAUUCCAAUCGAAAUUAAUUUCUUCAGUUCAUUAUUAGUCCCUGUUAGUGUACUUCAUAAGUUGUAGACUAAGGCUGUGUUGCCCAAGACAUACUACAGAGUGUCAUACAUAGGGGAAAUGAACACUUUUUAGCAAAAUGUUUUCCAACAUUUUUCAUACUUUGUUUAUAUUAUAAAUAUGUAAUCAGAAAGCUUUUAAGAACGUCUUCGACGAAAGAAGAACGUACUGAAAUCAUUCUCAUGGCUGGAUUGGGAAGCUGCCACAAGGUUGCGAUGGACUUUAACGGGAAACAUGGCAAGCACAUCACAUACGACACUAACAAAUUCAAAAAGACUGGAAAUGUUCAGCCCAAGUGGAGGAGAAGUGUUGGAGACGUCCACAAACAUCCACUGAUGAAGGCACAACAGAUGUGGUGCUGGCAAACACAGUCCCCCACUAUGUACAGCGACUGUUGGGACACACCCUGUAUAUGGCUCAGGUGUGUGCUUCUAUGUUCGAUGGGAUCCUAUUCAGGCCAAACACGGACAAGUGUAGCCACAUAAUGUCAUUUUCUUUGGAUGUGGUUUAACAUUUUGCUCCAACCUAAGCCGCCACCCAAAUAUAUUCAUUAGGCCUAACGAGCCACCCCAGUGUAAGAGGUCUGGCCACGCCCCUACAGAUUACACCUUCAUAUCCUGUACAAUUUAAGGAAUGUCGCCUGAAUACAGCCUGGGACAUGAACCAAACAGUAACUUAUUCACCCAUAUAAUGUUUUCGGUGGACGCGUUUCACAACACCGGACAGCUUCUCCUGCUCGUCCCGCUCACACAGCGCGUCUCUCCGGCCGGCGGAGUGGAACAUGCCGGGCUCGGGCUCUGUACGGACACUGGGCUGGAGCUCCAUGGCACUGACGCUGUAGUGGCCGUGCUGCUGCAACUCGCGCACCACCGGGAUCCGUUCAGCACCAGCAGCUAUUCCACAAUUAAGGAUUAUUUCUAAUAGGAGAUAUACCACCAUCAUGUAUCCACAUCAAACAGUAUAAAUGUUCAGCAAACAUCUGAAGGAAAAUAUUACCUUGAAUUUCCUCUGCAUUUGAGGUAGUGCUGGUCAUUGAGGAAUGUCUGAAUAAAAAGUGAAUGUUCAAAUGAAUAAGCACCGAAUAAUUCAUACAAAUUCAUAACGAAGAUUGUAGUAUGAGUAGUACCUAAUAUAAUAUAUUAUAUAUAAUAAUAUUCCAUAGUAACUCAUUUUUUGAAUAAGAAGCAAAUUACAAAAUACUGUCUAAAGGUUUACUGAUAUCACAACAGAUCCAUGUCAAGAUUAAAUCCUAUUUCUAUAUUACACAUUACUUUUGAAUAGACAACCAAAUGAAUUGUAAGUAAGGUUCUUAAUAAUUAAAUGAAUUGUUAAUUUUUGUAACCAGAUUUUGACCUGCUCACCUGGUUG